UUCCUGCCUCUCCGGAUGACUCCGGGUUAUCACGGUGCAGCUUCUGUUUGCCGCAGGGCCAUUGUUCCCCGUUGCUAUAGGACAGGGGCACAGCUCAGAUGUUCCCCCCGGUGCUGAUGGGGAUCGUAUCUCCCCUGGGACCCCCUCCCAGCAUUGCUUGGCAUGCAAGGGAAUAGGCUUUGUGCAGCCCUGGGGGACAAUGGGCAAUGUGGGUGUGCUGGGAGGGUGAUGGAGACAGACCCCCCCCUCACUCAGGGCUCACAUCACCCUCAGGACCUUGAGCGUGUGGUGGGGGUACCCAUGGGUGCUGCAGUGUUCCCUUGCCUUAUUCCCUCCUGGGGGCAUCACUAGAGGGGGAGGGGGACACAACUGAUCCCUCUGGGGAUGGGCAAUGUGAGGGGGCAGAGCUGGGCUUAGUGCCCCAUCCAUCCCCAUUGAGGGGACUCAAUCCAACCCCCCACCUCCCACCCCCACUGCUGUGCACCCAGUGCUGCCCUGUGCUCGUUGCCAUCUCAAAUCUCACCAAGUCACUCUCUUAUUUCUAACGAAUCUUUGAUAAAUCACUGCUGGACAUCAAGAAACACAUUCCCUCUUCUCUCUUCUGAGUGACAUCACAGAGCAGUGAACCCUAUGGGGACACAGUGCCCACACUGGGGCUAUCCAGGAUCCAUUCCCCCACAUCCAUUCUGUCUUUCCCAGCAGUACAGCAGCAUUCCCAGCCUGGAAGGGGGAGGGUCAGGGGCUGCGAGGUGCCAGCGCUGACCCCGCUGCUUCCUGCCCUCACACUCCCUGGAGCCCGUCGGUGUCUGCGGCGCUGGGGACGGUGUCGGUCCCCCAUCCAUUCUCAGCUACCACAUUUCCUUCCUGAGCUGCAAAUAACAGAUACCGCUAUGGCAGAGGCAGGAAAAUCGGCAGCAACUUUCCUGGAAACUUGUCUUCUCUUGUGGAUCAAAGGAACGGGGAAGCACUGGAAAUCAGUGGCAGCCACUCAUCCCUCCCUUCCCCCAACCCCCCAACCAACCCCCCCCCCUAUAAUCGGCUCAGCUCCACGACCCACAGAGCCCAGUGCUGGUAACCCCCACAGUUCCACCCUAAGCUUUAUGGUGAGGGUGAUGGAGCAUUGGAACAGGCUGCCCAUAGACGUGGUGGAGUCUCCUUCUUUGGAGCUAUUCAAGACCUGACCUGUGCGAUGUGGAUUCUAAGCACCCAACUGGAUUACAGGGGAGCACUGAACAUCAUGGAGCACCA